AAACUUUAGAGUGACAGCUAUGGAACCUGCAUGGGACUAGACUAGGCCCCCUGCAUACAGGAGACAGUUGUGUAGCUUGAUCUGCUUGGGAGGCAUUCAGACAAUGGGACCAGGUCCUGUCCUCAGUGCCUGAACUGGCAGUUUGGAACCUGGGGCUUAUACAGGGACACUUGGCUCAGCCUGGGAGGAGGGGACUGGACCUGCCUGGACUGAAUCUACCAGG